GACGAACGCUGGCGGCGUGCCUAAUACAUGCAAGUCGAACGCUGAAGGAGGAGCUUGCUCUUCUGGAUGAGUUGCGAACGGGUGAGUAACGCGUAGGUAACCUGCCUGGUAGCGGGGGAUAACUAUUGGAAACGAUAGCUAAUACCGCAUAACAGUAGAUGUUGCAUGACAUUUACUUAAAAGGUGCAAUUGCAUCACUACCAGAUGGACCUGCGUUGUAUUAGCUAGUUGGUGGGGUAACGGCUCACCAAGGGGACGAUACAUAGCCGGGCUGAGAGGGUGGUCGGGCACACUGGGAAUGAGAAACGGCUCAGACUCCUACGGGGAGCAGCAGGAGGGGAACUUCGGAAAUGGACGGAAGGCUGACCGAGCAACGCCGCGGGGGUGGAGAAGGGUCUCGGAUCGUAAAGGUCCGUUGUGAGAGAAGAAAGAGUGGGAGAGUGGAAAGUUCACACUGUGACGGUAUCUUACCAGAAAGCGACGGCUAACUACGUG
rnacentral:rRNA from 1 species